rnacentral:rRNA from 1 species
UACAGAGGUCUCAAGCGUUGUUCGGAUUCAUUGGGCGUAAAGGGUGUGUAGGUGGCGCCGUAAGUCGGGUGUGAAAUUUCGGAGCUUAACUCCGAAACUGCAUUCGAUACUGCGGUGCUUGAGGACUGGAGAGGAGAUUGGAAUUCACAGUGGAGCAGUGAAAUGCGUAGAUAUUGUGAGGAACACUAGUGGCGAAGGCGAAUCUCUGGACAGUUCCUGACGCUGAGGCACGAAGGCCAGGGGAGCAAACGGG